GGACCUUGAUUGAGUCCUGUACCAUGCCUCAGUUUCCCCACUUAUAAAAAGAGGUUACUAAAAAGGAUGCUUCACUCAAGGGUGUGAAGACCCAGUGAAUGAAGUGUUAAUAAGAGCUCCACGUAUAGCGAUGCUGCUGUUCAGCUGCUCCAGGCUGGACUCCCUUGACUUGCUGGGAGUUACAAUGAGGAAGGAAGGACCAUUAAACCUGUAGGUCUUUCCAGAGAUAGUGCGUUUCCUAAAACCAAAUCCUGCCCUUGCUCCAAAACUGUCAGUGGUGGUUUCCCAUGACCAUGCCACAGUCCCAGGGUCUCCCCUGGCCUUCAAGGCUGGCACAGUCUGACCCUGCCAACGUCCCUAGUGCCACCAUCUGUCAGCCCCUCCAUGCUCCUGCUCCUGGUCUGCACAUGCUGUUCUCUUUGCCAAGAAUGCCAUUUCCCCAGCCCCCUGGUCCCGAUGGGGAACACCUCCUCAUCCUUCAAAGCCAAGCUGGAAGGGAACAUCUUUGGAGAUGCCGCUUGACCUCCCAGGCAGAAGGGGUCAUUCUCCCUGGAGAUGUGGUCACGUCAUUAACCACACUGGGUGAGAAUCAUCAGAAGCUGUUCCUGCCUCUUCCAUCAAGCAAGGGGCUCUGGAGGCCAGAAAACGCCUAUGAAUCAUGCCCACACCCCCAGAGCCCAGCAUGGGGCGGGCUCAGGUUAGGUCAAUCGUGUUUGAAGACUGAAUAAAUGAAUGUCUUCAUUUGCUACCCUCAGAA
rnacentral:lncRNA from 1 species